GUAGUCGAUGGCAAACAGGUUAAUAUUCCUGUACUUCCUUAGCUGCGAUGGGAGGACGGAGAAGGUUAGACCAGCCACCUGUUGGAUGGUGGUUUAAGCGCAAAGGAGUGCACUCUAGGCAAAUCCGGAGUGAUUAUCUGAAGCGUGAUGACGAGUCUCUUUUGAGACGAAGUGGUUGAUACCAUGCUUCCAAGAAAAGUCCCUAAGCUUCAGGCAAAAGGAAUCCGUACCCCAAACCGACACAGGUGGGCGAGGAGAGUAUCCUAAGGCG
rnacentral:rRNA from 1 species